UACGUAGGGGCCUAGCGUUGUCCGGAAUUAUUGGGCGUAAAGAGCUCGUAGGCGGUUCGGCAAGUCGGAUGUGAAAUCUCCACGCUUAACGUGGAGGGGCCAUUCGAAACUGCUGUGACUCGAGUCCGGUAGGGGAGUGUGGAAUUCCCGGUGUAGCGGUGAAAUGCGCAGAUAUCGGGAGGAACACCAGUAGCGAAAGCGGCUCACUGGACCAUUACUGACGCUGAUGCACGAAAGCUAGGGGAGCAAACAGG
rnacentral:rRNA from 1 species